AUUUGCUAGCUUAUGCUUUGAAACCCAGUCGAUAGAAUUUUGCUAGCAAGUGUGGUUAGUUAUGUUCUAUGUUUUGUCCAUUAUGUCGUAAUAUUAUUGUAACUUGUUAAAAUUACUGUUAUUGCAAGAUUGUAAGAAAGUUUAGAACUGUCUUAAAACUUUUUAUUUUUAUUGUUUUUGGAUUCAGAAGAGUUUUAUUCUUGGCUAGCAUAUUGACAUAGAUAUUGUCUUUAGCAUAUUGACCAUUUCUUUUAUUUUCUUCCUUGUUGGCUCCACUGGGGAACUAUCCUUGCUUUACAAAGAGUUCAGUACUUGAUUUUAAUAAUCUGCUUUAUUUUAUUGUUCUAUGAAAACCACAAGGGAAGAUAGUGGAACUGGAAGCUUUAUUUCUCUAGUAGGCAUCUGUGAUGACUUCAUUUUAGUUAUCCUUGCACUAUGAUUUUCUAUGAAGAUACUAUUGGGGAAGAUAUAGUCUGAGAUGCCUGAAUAUACAUGCGGUCAUACAUAUAUACCAAGAUAUUGUCGUGUAAGACGCGCGCGUGCUCAUUAACACAUGCACAGAGCAAAGAGGGUCGUGGAAUGGACAGGGUACAGCGGAGGAGGGGGAAAGGGGUUGUUAGGGUUGGGUAAUGAAAGGAGAUAUGAAAGGGAGCUAGUCGGGUCAGAGGCAAAGUUGUGUCUGGUGUAGAACGGGAUAUGAGAAUUAUGUAGAGAGGGGCAGUUGGUUUCUUUUAAGAAGGAGAAGGGUAUUUUUGGAUAUUUUUUUGCCUCUGUAAUACCAUAUACAUAAACACUGAAAUACUAUAUGUGGGUUAAAAUUAUUGGAAA